ensembl:lncRNA
UACUUUUUCUUUUCUUUUUUCUUUUUUCUUUUUUUCUUUUUUUCUUUCUCCCCUGUUGCUAAUGAGCACUUGAGAAUUUGAUUUAGCUCUUUGGAAUGACUGCCACUUACUGCUAGAAUGUUAAUCUGUCUAAACCCAUUCAGCUCCUCUUACUUGGAAGUCAAUCACCUGGAGCCUGCAUUUUAAAGAGAUGCUGGUGGCUAAGGCAGCCGCAACAGCAGAGAUGUUUUGGGACAAUUCCCACAGUUGGGACUAGCCUCGGGAAACUCAUAGCUGCUUGACAGCAGACAGCAUUGAAUCCCCGGAAUAAGCAGAACUGGAGCAAACCCGGCAGAGACCAGAAGGGCAAAUGGAGGGGAGAAACAGGAGGCUUUUGAGCUGCAGCUCCCACACGGGAUGCUGCACUGGAGUGUUUUGGGGGACAAUCUUUAGUUAAUGGUGAGAAUAUACCCAAGGAGGGCGUAGGCAAACCAGGCCAGAGGAGGUACGCCAAGACACAGCUGGAGAUAAAGCUUUAAAGUGUCAGAGGAGGAGUUUGGCUUUCUAGAAGUAAUUAGAGAGAUAAUUUAAUUUGUCUUGUGCUGGCCAUUUUUUAAACCUCUAUUUGGAGUGGGAGAAAAUGUACAGAAUUCCAUAUUAAAUGUAGGAGACAUCUUGGGCAUCACAUGGGAUAGUUGAUGAUGUAGUGGAGCUGUGUAUCAGUGAAUCAUUCCGCUGUGCUAUUCUCGAAAUGUUUCUGUUUUAGCUUCCUUAAUUCCUUAUCCUUUAGAAUUCCUUAGAAAUCCCUGUCAAACCAUGCUGCCCAGGACAGUGCACCCCCUAGGUACUGGCUCUCCUACUCAUGGCCAGGAGUGGCUGCCCUGGGAGUGGAGAGGACCAUGAAGUCCCUGACUACCAGAAUUACUCCUGAGUAUUGCUUUGCAUUUUUCACAUGGGAAAAAGUGUGUUUUAACUGUGGUACACCCCAUCUUUGUCACUGUCCCAUCACUCCCUCUGCAGUUCUGUGACAGCAAACUUUGCAGAGAGAAGAUGCAAUAAUCUAACAGCAAGAAAGAUUUCUUUGCUGCUGCUAUAGAGGAGCAGACUGGUCCUGUGACCCCAUGUGAAAAAGCACCUUUUUGGAAUAAGCAAAUGUUCAGAGUCAUUAUUUUCUCUUUCAAUAAAAUUGUUAUUUCUACAUAAGAAAUUUAUCUUGGGAGUGCAUCUCCAGAAACCUUAUAAAUAAGAAAUGCAGAAGGAAGGUCACACUAUGUAUUUUGUCAGCAUAUGCAAUCUUUUAUGAAGAGACAGUCAGAGAUGAAAAUGGGAUUUCUUUAGGUACUUAUACAUUUAUCUGCUGUUCUAGUUCUGAAACAGAAGAACACAGAAAAUUAAAAGUCAAAUGCACCAUUAUUAUUGAUUUAUAAGCAAAAUGGAAGAUUAUGUCCAUAAGAUUUAGGAUACCUAGGUUUCAUGAGACUAACGCUACAUAACCAGCCUGAUACACUUGCUAGAGAGUAUAAUGAAAAGUAUAUUUUAGCUGUUGCACAUAAACCUGCAGUAUGCAGGCACAGUAAUACCCUAGUACCUGAGUUUUGAUGUAAACUUUCUUUAAAUGACUUAUUAGUUAGCAGAAGUGAUUUGAGGGAUUAAAUACAGCAAUAUCAAUGUUUAAAGUUCUCCUCAAAAGGGGCUUUUGUUGUCUACAAUGGAAGAGCUAUAUUUGUGAAUUUACUUUUAAUUUUCCACAGAUUUCAAUAGGAAAAACUGUGGCAAGAGCAAUACAUUUUGCUUCUGAAAAUUUCAGUGGAAAAUGAUGGACUCAAACUGCUGCAGGUACCAGCAAUGCACCCGCUGCAGUCCCUCAGGGGAAGGCCUGGUACACAGUAGCACUAGCAACCUGCUAAGCCUAAGACCAUCAAAGAAUAACAUCCAAAAAUGGCCAUUAUUCAAAGAACAAGAUGUUUUUAGGCAUGAGCCCUUGUUGGAAAAAAGAAAGAGCAUUAAGUGCAGCCAGGUUUCUAAGCUAAUGUGGAUGGAUGUCUUUGUAUUGUGAAACCAGAAAAAUUUGCCCCUGUUGAUGUUGCGACCAUGUGGCAACAUGAGUCUUUGUGUGUGAAGAAAUGAAUGUCUUCUCCAUUUAUUAACAUCAAUUCUUGGUUAAGAAAUUAAGAGAUGGACAGAUUGUAGGUACCUGAAAAAGAUUUCUAAACUCCUGUCAACUGGAGAAGCCAUAUCUUAAAAACGAAUAAAUAUCCAGCUUAUUUUAGCUCACAGGUUUUAAGCUUAAAAAAAAAAAAAAAAAAGUUUUAAUAAUUUCUAUUUUAUUUUAAUUAUCUGACGUCUAAAUUAAAACUGGUUUUUGACACACAAGAGUAUUCAUAGCUUUUGGCAGUGAUGGCAAGAAGAUAAAACAAAGCUAUUUAAUGUCUGGAUGAAAUAAUCAGACCUGGAAUAAAAUUCCUUUGGGAGGUGGAGGAAGAGCAAUCUUCAGGCCUUUCUUCCUCUAUCAUUGUGGCUGAGGGACAGAUGAACACCUGUACCAGUGAUGGCUGUGGGGCCUCUGCUUUGCACCCCUCUGCACAGGGGCAGUCAUCCUGGGCUCAGAAGCAUAGAGGGGAUGCAAGUCUCCCAAGCCUGGCCAAGACUUGGUCAUGCUGCCAAUGCAGCCCCUGCAGAAGGGUUAAAAGACCUUGUGUAUUUGAAUUCACUCUGCAAGGAUAUCUGAGAUAUCUAAUUUUAAAGAUCUUUAAAAAGUCUGUCAGCCACAAGUUUGAUCUUUCAAUAAUUUGCAUGAGUCCCAUUCCCUGAAAAGUAGAGGUUUUUUUAUUAUAAAUGGUUGUCAAUGACUUGGGUUAAGCUGUAAGCUGAUCUGGAAUUUUUUUAAUAAAGCAGCUAUUAUUUGCAGAAAACUGCUGAGUAAAGUUGUUGCAAUGCCACCCUAUUUUUAAAAACACUGUCACAGUGUUUUAAAUAUUUAGGCAUACAUUUAGCUGUGGGACCUGGUAGAAGACAUGCACCAGUUGAGCUCCAGCAGGCAGCAGUGGUACAAGCUAUACUCCUCUUGUGCAUGUAGCUGCUACAAGAACUGAAAUUCCAUCACAGUCAGACGUGACUGCCUACAAUUUGCAGAUAUAUUUUCCAACCCCAAGUAGUUUCAAAUGUCCCAGAGAGCAUCAAGAUCCAGUCUAAGGCUAAGAGUCUCAAAUGCUUUGCAUGGGAAAUUGUCUUCCUGAGUUUCAGCAGACUGAAAAAGUCCAGAUAUAAACUUCUUCCAGCUGAACUUGACAUCUCCAGUGCAAACUUCUCAGCUGGGCUGGUUAUCUUCUGCUUAUGGAAAUCACAUGUUUGGGAGCUGACUUCACUAGUGUUAACUAAAGAAAAGUAAUUCUGGAUAAAAACUUCUGCUAAGAAUUUCUUCCGUGUGUCCUAGCCUGGGGUUUCAAAACCAUGGGCCAAAUUCCAGCCAUUGCCAACCUCAAGAAAACCCAUAAAACAGCUACUGUGUGAAAAUUCCUAUGUUCUUUCCCACACUGCUCACCAAACAAUUAUUAGGAAACACAAAUCACACUUCUCUUGGGAUGUAAAAUUUCUGACAGAACUAGUGCGUUCCAAAAGAGCAAUACAUUUCCUCCCAUCUCUAGGAGAGCAAGCAGAGCUCCUACCCCUUCAGCCUGAUUGGGCAAUUCACCUUUUACCAUGCUCUGGUCUCUUGCCAGCCCCAGGAGCCCAGCACUUUAUCUUCAGGCAGGUUAGACCUUUUGUGUCACAGCCAAGCUCCCAGGUUCUCCAAGUAACCAUUGGCUGCACCCAGGACAGCAUAUCAUUUAAUCUGCUCCUGGCUCUAACCAAAUCUUCAAGCCCUUCCCAAAAGGGAAAGGUCUUAAAAAAAAAACCCUCAAAACAAUACAAAAAAAUCCCAAACAAAAAACCAAACCCACAAAACCCCAAACCAAAACUGUUUCCAGGAGACAACAAAUGGAGAAAAAAGGGAAAGGGUGUAAAGGUUACAAAUUCAAUAAUUGGUCUGUAGAGGACUGGAGGGAGACAGCAAGCAGAGCAUCCUCAAGAGCACCCACCAUUCCCUGAAGCUGUCCAGACAGGACACCACUGGCUUGCUCUGCAGAGGGACUCAAGAGGAUUAGGUGUGGACACAGGCCACCAAGGUGCCUACACAGCUUUCUUGUCCUGCUGGUAUUUGAGAUCAGUCUGACCAGGAGGAGGCUGAUGAGGAGCUCCUGAGACAAUAAUGCUGUCUCCCUUUGCCCCUUUACACCAGGACAAAGAAGGCCUUUUUUUAUUAAGGACAUAAAUAUCCCUUCAAACCCUCUGGCAGGCCGCAUAGCAGCAUUUUAGCCCCAGGGUUAUUCCAGGUGAGUCCUCUUGGUGUCAUCCCAUGAAGUCCAUCAUGUGACUGCAUGAAAUGACAGAACAGACCUCCUUUUUUGCUGCUCUGAGCUGAACAAAGCUGUCUGGGAAAACUGGAAGAGGUAGAUGUAGAGCUAAAAGCUCUCUUUUCUUGUCCAUGACCCCAUCUGAUCUUGAGAGUGGGUAUUAGCACUGGUGUAUUACCUCGAUGGCAAUGCAGAGCUGCUCAGAAGCACCAGCUGCCUUUGAAUAUGAGCUCUUUAGAGGAAUGUGAACUCUGACAAUGCAUUGCUGAGGCCCGAAAACACCCUUCAAAUUUAAAUCCUUUCUAUUCAACAGAAAACUGUUCAAAAUCCCUAUCUGCACGGCUAUUUAAGGCAACUCUAUCAAGCUGGACUUAAUAAUGUUGUGCAGAAACAAUGUAACUCACAGACUUCAGGUUACAGGGGAAUAACCUUACCUUCCUCAUAAAGAGUUGUAUCAUAUAAUGGUGACAUAACUCAUUUGGGUGACAUGGCAAUUGAAACCAAGAAGGCUGAGCUCUUUUGCCAUAACUGGGAUUGUGCUGUAAAUGCAAAUUGUGCUUACAGGGUUUAGCUCCUCUCAAGACCUCUGCAGUUAGUUACUGCUGCUAAGUGCUAAUACCUGGAGCAAAGGUGGAACAGAGGGAUGUGGCAUUUGUGCCUUCCCAAA